UACAGAGGGUGCGAGCGUUAAUCGGAAUUACUAGGCGUAAAGGGCGCGUAGGCGGCCACCGCAAGUCGACUGUGAAAUCUCCGGGCUUAACCCGGAAAGGUCAGCCGAUACUGCGGGGCUAGAGUGCAGAAGGGGCAACUGGAAUUCUCGGUGUAGCGGUGAAAUGCGUAGAUAUCGAGAGGAACACCUGCGGCGAAGGCGGGUUGCUGGGCUGACACUGACGCUGAGGCGCGAAAGCUAGGGGAGCGAACGGG
rnacentral:rRNA from 1 species